rnacentral:lncRNA from 1 species
AAGGCUUCUAGCACACCCUCUAUGAGACUGAUCUUUUCACUUCAUACACCAUAUUGAACUUGAGGUAAGUUGAAGCUUUCAGUUGCUCAUCAUAAGAACCAUAUUAUGUGUGCUUUAAUGUGACUUUUGCUACGUGUUCUGCAUGAUGUUUGAAUGAUUGAUGAUUCAUAGUGAUAUGAAAGAAUAUGUUUUGAAAAUGGGUGUAUGGUACUUGAUUGAUGGUCGAGUAGGCAAGGGA